CAGGCCUAACACAUGCAAGUCGAGGGGUAACAGGGAGUGCUUGCACUCCGCUGACGACCGGCGCACGGGUGCGUAACGCGUAUGCAACCUACCUUUCACAGGGGGAUAGUCAAGAGAAAUUUUGAAUAAUACCCCAUACGUUCUUGAGAUAGCAUUUUCUUAAGAAGAAAAUUUCGGUGGUGAAAGAUGGGCAUGCGUCCUAUUAGCUAGUAGGUGAGGUAACGGCUCACCUAGGCAACGAUAGGUAGGGGUCCUGAGAGGGAGAUCCCCCACACUGGUACUGAGACACGGACCAGACUCCUACGGGAGGCAGCAGUGAGGAAUAUUGGACAAUGGAGGCAACUCUGAUCCAGCCAUGCCGCGUGCAGGAAGACUGCCCUAUGGGUUGUAAACUGCUUUUAUACAGGAAGAAACACUCCCUCGUGAGGGAGCUUGACGGUACUGUACGAAUAAGGAUCGGCUAACUCCGUGCCAGCAGCCGCGGUAAUACGGAGGAUCCAAGCGUUAUCCGGAAUCAUUGGGUUUAAAGGGUCCGCAGGCGGUCUAUUAAGUCAGAGGUGAAAGCCUACCGCUCAACGGUAGAACUGCCUUUGAUACAGAUAGACUUGAGUUAUUGUGAAGUAGUUAGAAUGUGUAGUGUAGCGGUGAA
rnacentral:rRNA from 1 species